CGCCCAGGCAGAGGGCCAUAGAUCGCAGUCUGUACCGCCCGCUGCGCUCUGCGCUCGGAUGCCCUAACAAGGUUCCAGCACAAAGAUCUAACUCAGGCCUGCAGUAACAGGCCACCAGAUGCAGCCUUAGGAAGGAUCACGGCCCACACAGCCCUUCACAGAGGAUGCCCACCCAGUGGACUGGCAGCAGCCACAACCGGAAACACCAGCAAGAAUGGUCCAGGGAGGCUGAAGCCUCCGAUGGAUCUGAACCACUUCACACCCCUCAGGAUGGCGGUAAAGCAUGCACAUCUGGAUUCGGAAGUCCUUUCGGACACACUGGCACACGACACCCAUUCUGAAAGUCGCUGAAGGAGGCGGUCAGCACACGGAGGCACAGCUGCAAUGCGCUCGCCCGGGAAGGGUUAGCAGGCAGUACCUUGGCCAGCGUGUUACGG